rnacentral:sRNA from 1 species
ACACCACCCACACACACCACCACGCCCUGUCCCCUUUCUCCACCCUGCAAGCUAGUUGCAUUUACCUCACAGAGCCUGGGCUGCGACUUGAAAGACUUUAGGCAGCAACAGAGUGACCCUGGGGGUGCUCUUGACCGACAGCCGCACCUCCGGCGUCUAGGACCUCCGAGCAGGGAUGCAUCUGGGGGUCUAGGGAAGCACUUCCACCCCCUCCUCUCCUCAACCCUGGCAGGAUGUGCCCGAAAUGCCAGCUCCUCCUUGGUGUUCUCCUUUCAAGAUUUGAAUUCAAAUCCCAUAUUGGCAGCCCUGAUACCGCUGGGGGAAGGGUGAGGCUACCGCUGCUUCAAGACAGUGACGUUUCUCUCCGGUCAGCUGUCAGGAGCGCUGAUGAGCUUCCUACUGUGCCACAAGGUGCGGGUGCUGGAGACACAGCUGAGCCUGGAAAUGAGAGUGGGCAUCGCCGUGGUCAUCAUGACUCCUCUGUGGUGUGGUCACCAUCUGGGUCUUACUGGGGAUCUGGCCAGCCUUGGGGACCCUUGGGGCCCUGGCCCAGUGGAAGCUUGUGCCUGAGGA